UCCGGCUUAUCACCGGCAGUCCCUUUAGAGUGCCCAACUGAAUGAUGGCAACUAAAGGCGAGGGUUGCGCUCGUUGCGGGACUUAACCCAACAUCUCACGACACGAGCUGACGACAGCCAUGCAGCACCUGUGUUCCCGCCAGCCGAACUGAAGGAUCUAAUCUCUCGGAUCCAUACGGGACAUGUCAAGGGUUGGUAAGGUUCUGCGCGUUGCUUCGAAUUAAACCACAUGUUCCACCGCUUGUACGGACCCCCGUCAAUUCUUUUAAGUUUUAACCUUGCGGCCGUACUCCCCAGGCGGUCAACUUCACGCGUUAGCUUCGUUACCAAGGAAUUGCUUCCCCGACAACCAGUUGACAUAGUUUAGGGCGUGGACUA
rnacentral:misc_RNA from 1 species